rnacentral:misc_RNA from 1 species
AAGUCGUAACAAGGUUUCCGUAGGUGAACCUGCGGAAGGAUCAUUCAUAAUAAGUGUUUUAUGGCACUUUUUAAAUCCAUAUCCACCUUGUGUGCAAUGUCAGUCGUUCUCUUUUUUGAGAGCGACCAAACAUCAACUUAUUCUUUAACUCUUUGUCUGAAAAAUAUUAUGAAUAAACAAUUCAAAAUACAACUUUCAACAACGGAUCUCUUGGCUCUC